UUUCUACUCCAUCCGUCCGAAAAUACUUGUCAUCAAAAUGGAUAAAAAGAUAUGUAUCUAAAACUAAAAUACAUCUAGAUACAUUUCCUUUUAUCCAUUUUGAUGACAAGUAUUUCCGGACGGAGGGAGUAUUUG
rnacentral:pre_miRNA from 1 species